rnacentral:rRNA from 1 species
UACGUAGGGGGCAAGCGUUGUCCGGAUUUAUUGGACGUAAAGAGCGUGUAGGCGGCCAGAUAGGUCAGCUGUGAAAACUCGAGGCUCAACCUCGAGAUGUCGGCUGAAACCAUCUGGCUAGAGUCCGGAAGAGGAGAAUGGAAUUCCCGGUGUAGCGGAGAAAUGCGCAGAUAUCGGGAAGAACACCCGUGGCGAAGGCGGUUCUCUGGGACGGUACUGACGCUGAGACGCGAAAGCGUGGGGAGCGAACAGG